AUCCUUCGGGUGAAGGUGGCGGACGGGUGAGUAACGCGUAAAGAACUUGCCUUACAGACUGGGACAACAUUUGGAAACGAAUGCUAAUACCGGAUAUUAUGACUGAGUCGCAUGAUUUGGUUAUGAAAGCUAUAUGCGCUGUGAGAGAGCUUUGCGUCCCAUUAGUUAGUUGGUGAGGUAACGGCUCACCAAGACGAUGAUGGGUAGCCGGCCUGAGAGGGUGAACAGCCACAAGGGGACUGAGACACGGCCCUUACUCCUACGGGAGGCAGCAGUGGGGAAUAUUGGACAAUGGACCAAAAGUCUGAUCCAGCAAUUCUGUGUGCACGAUGAAGUUUUUCGGAAUGUAAAGUGCUUUCAGUUGGGAAGAAGUCAGUGACGGUACCAACAGAAGAAGCGACGGCUAAAUACGUGCCAGCAGCCGCGGUAAUACGUAUGUCGCAAGCGUUAUCCGGAUUUAUUGGGCGUAAAGCGCGUCUAGGCGGUUUAGUAAGUCUGAUGUGAAAAUGCGGGGCUCAACCCCGUAUUGCGUUGGAAACUGCUAAACUAAGUACUGGAGAGGUAGGCGGAACUACAAGUGUAGAGGUGAAAUUCGUAGAUAUUUGUAGGAAUGCCGAUGGGGAAGCCAGCCUACUGGACAGAUACUGACGCUAAAGCGCGAAAGCGUGGGUAGCAAACAGGAUUAGAUACCCUGGUAGUCCACGCCGUACCCCGCUGAUUACUAGGUGUUGGGGUCGAACCUCAGCGCCCAAGCUACGCGAUAAGUAUCCGCCUGGGAGUACGUACGCA
rnacentral:rRNA from 1 species